rnacentral:rRNA from 1 species
UACGUAGGGUGCUAGCGUUAUCCGGAAUCACUGGGCGUAAAGCGUGCGUAGGCGGCUUGUUAAGUGAGAUGUUAAAUCGUGUGGCUCAACCAUAUCGAUGCAUCUCAUACUGGCAGGCUAGAGGACGGCAGAGGCAAGUGGAAUUCCCCGGUGUAGUGGGUGAAAAUGCGUAGAUUAUCGGGGAGGAAACACCCAGUUGGGCGAAAGGGCGACUACCCUGGCCCUGUUUCUUUGACG